CCCAGUUCCCUCUGACUUCUGCAGGAUGGCUCAUCACCAGGGAACCUAUGGCUCCUACAAGAUGAAGGCACCAAUUCAGAAACAGGCCACCCUGAACUCAAACUCUGUUAAUCAGCUUCCUUUGCUGGCUUCUCCAGGGACUGAGCUAAGGUGUCCAUGAGCUCCUAUACGAAAGGCUCUGGAAAGGUUGCCAGACACUUUUACAACAAUUUUGCCAGGUCACAUCUUCCAGGAAGAUCUUGUCUCUCCACCGAAGACCCUGGCCCAACCUCCUGCAGUGCCAUGCUCCGUGUAUUUGACAAGCUGAGUUGGACACUCCAUGUAGUAGUGUCAGUUUGUCAAAUACCCCAAGUGUGGCAUAUGCCUAGCAACUCCAGGCUGGGACACUUGAGAUACAACAGAAGAGAGACAGUUGGAUACAAGAACACUCAGCAAAUACCAACUAAGUUCUCAGAAGUUAUUUUCGGUGACUUUGAGGGAAAUAAACCAUUAUAUGUGAAGGUGUGGGAGAAAAAUGAAACAGCUCUGCUACACACAGUGGGAGCCCUAGGGGGACACAAUAGUCUUGAAAAGGCAUUUGGGCAUGUUCAAGGGAUGUAAGUGUUCUUUGAUUCAUACUUUCUUCCUUCACAUUCCCCUUCCUGAGCCACCUAGCAAGGACAUCAGGACUUAGGCACUCAGUUUCUUGACACUUAAUCUUGACUUCUAAACACACUUUGACCUCACUUAUCUCUCUCCUUUUCCUCAUGGUCUUUCUCCUCCUGGGAACAGCUUCUUUAUUUCUCUCUUCUCUUCCAAUUCUUUCCCAUACUUCCUGGUCCAGCCAAAGUCCUUACCUCCAAAGACUUUUGAAAGUUAACUUAUAUUCUUUCCUGCUUUGUUCUUCAACACACUCCUUGCCUGGUUGCUUGUAUGUACCCAUUUAUCUCUUACUGCCCAAUGGUACCUUUUGAAUUGUUAGUGAACUUCUAAGGGAGGUAAUUUUUAAUCCCCCACUAGAUUGUGAACUCCUAGAGAACAAUACUCUUUGUGUGAUUGCUCUCUCCCCAUUCCAUCCCUACUCCAACCUCAGCACAGUACUCUAGUUACAGAAAAUACUUACUAAAUGCUUAUUGAUUAAAAUGCUUUCCACUAGUCCCUUAGCUUUGGGCCUUUGGGUCAAAUGCUACCCAAGAAUUUUGUGAAAAAGCAAUUAAAUUUUGGUAACCACAAUGCUAUAGGGUGUGUGAGGUAAUUGCCAAGAUGGGGGGUUUUAUCCCUGAGAAACAAGGUCAAGAGUCAGAGGAGGGAGGGAAAAAAAGUAGACUCAGGGAGCAAGUAAGUUUUGGAAUCACUUGGUAGCAAAAAGGUAUAUAGAUACUUCAUUGCAGGAUUUUUCAGAAACUUUAGUAUUGAAAUAUUGCUUUGUAAAUCUCCAAGAGAGAGUGAUAGAGUAAAACAUUUCCCAUGCCUAUCUGAUUAUGGAAAUUUUUUUCUGUAGGCCAUUUCCUGGAUCUUGUAUUUCAUGGAACAAAAUCUGAGAAACUACCUUAGAGGAACUUUAUAUUUUUCCUCUCUUCUGGAGAUCUUGUCUUUUUCCCAACCAGUUACUUGCCUAAGACAGGUCCAAUGUUAUCACAUCAUUUUUGUUUAGUCUAUACUGUAUAUUUGGACUAGGUCUAUACUUAGGACUUUCUUACUGACUUAUUUUGUAUGUAAAAUAUUAUCAGGUUUUGGACAGAGAUGAUCUCUGGAAGUUUCCUGCUGUAAUAUAGAUAUGAUCCUAGGUCUGUAAUUUUAUCUUUUGUGUGACAUUUAUCUUUUGUAAUAUCCAUGUUAACUGGCAUCAUUAAAAUAAUUUAGAUGUU